rnacentral:miRNA from 1 species
UGCCUCUGAUGAAGCCUGUG